rnacentral:rRNA from 1 species
UACGUAGGUGGCAAGCGUUGUCCGGAUUUAUUGGGUUUAAAGGGUGCGUAGGCGGUUCAAUAAGUCAGUGGUGAAAUACGGCAGCUCAACUGUCGAGGUGCCAUUGAUACUGUGGAACUUGAGUACAGACGAGGUAGGCGGAAUUGACGGUGUAGCGGUGAAAUGCUUAGAUAUCGUCAAGAACACCGAUAGCGAAGGCAGCUUACUAGGCUGUAACUGACGCUGAGGCACGAAAGUGUGGGGAUCAAACAGG